rnacentral:rRNA from 1 species
UACGUAGGGUGCGAGCGUUGUCCGGAAUUAUUGGGCGUAAAGAGCUUGUAGGCGGUUUGUCGCGUCUGCUGUGAAAAUCCGGGGCUCAACCCCGGACUUGCAGUGGGUACGGGCAGACUAGAGUGUGGUAGGGGAGACUGGAAUUCCUGGUGUAGCGGUGAAAUGCGCAGAUAUCAGGAGGAACACCGAUGGCGAAGGCGGUUCUCUGGGCCUUACCUGACGCUGAGGAGCGAAAGCGUGGGGAGCGAACAGG